rnacentral:rRNA from 1 species
GUAGGUGGCAAGCGUUGUCCGGAAUUAUUGGGCGUAAAGCGCGCGCAGGCGGUUCUUUAAGUCUGAUGUGAAAGCCCACGGCUCAACCGUGGAGGGUCAUUGGAAACUGGAGAACUUGAGUACAGAAGAGGAAAGCGGAAUUCCACGUGUAGCGGUGAAAUGCGUAGAGAUGUGGAGGAACACCAGUGGCGAAGGCGGCUUUCUGGUCUGUAACUGACGCUGAGGCGCGAAAGCGUGGGGGAGCAAACAGGAUUAGAUACCCUGGUAGUCCACGCCGUAAACGAUGAGUGCUAAGUGUUAGGGGGUUUCCGCCCUUAGUGCUGCAGCUAACGCAUUAAGCACUCCGCCUGGGAGUACGGCGCAAGGCUG